rnacentral:misc_RNA from 1 species
AAAACUUUUUGAGUUAUAGACUCUGGAACAAACAAACACAUGAUAGACUCCUCAUACAAAUUUACGACCUAUUCACCAUGUUUAAGAAAGGAAAAAGUUCACACAGCGCAUAGGUCCUAAGCCAGUAUUUCAAGAAUAGGUUUUGUCGAAUGCACUCCUACUAUAAACCUCACCUCAGUUUCUUGGAUUAGGAUAAGUUACCCAGUGUGUAGAUCCUUGAUCCUUGUGCCUUUUAUGGUUCGAAGGUUUAAAACGGUACUUUUUCCACUAUUUUUUGACAACUCCAGGAUGUUGUCUUAUUUCUGAGUCAUCUCUUAUUUAUUUUGAUAUUGCUUUCUGUGCUUUGGUGUGCAUCUUGGUAGUUUUGAAGAAAUUUUUGGGUAAUUUGCUCCUUGAUAAAUUGGUUGUGUUAAGUUUCUUAGAAUGGCAGAUAUCGAAAAUGUGAUUGCUGAUGUAUUCCUGUGAUGACCAAAAUCACGGAGCACAAACUUAAUGGUUCCAAUUAUUUAGAGUGGAGCAAGAUCGUUCGUAUUUAUUUGCGAAGUAUUGAUAAGGAUGAUCACUUUACCAAAGAUCCUCCUAAUGAUG